rnacentral:tRNA from 1 species
GCCUGGCUGGCUCAAUUGGUAGAGCAUGUGACUCUUGAUCUCGGGGUUGUGAGUUUGAGCCCCACUUUGGGCG